rnacentral:hammerhead_ribozyme from 1 species
AUCCAACUGACGAGUUCAAAAAGGAAUGAAACGUGCGUUCUGGAU